GGAACCAGAGUGGAUUUUUCUAUAGUGAUCAUCAGGCCUAGAUGUGUGAAUAGGUCCUUGAUGAUGCUCACAUGCUGAGUGAUUUGUGUCUCGGAGUCUCCUCGGAUAAGCCAAUCGUCCAGAUACGGAAAAACACAUAUCCGACAUCAGCGGAGGUAGGCGGCGACUACGGCCAUACACUUGUAGUAUUGACUGUCAGCU